GCACUGUUGAAGAGUCCCAUACUAGGAUGAAACGGCCGUCCAGUGC
rfam:Schistosoma curassoni strain Dakar, Senegal genome assembly, scaffold: SCTD_scaffold0013248